GGGGAGGCCCUCCCAUACACACCCUCACUCCCAUCCAUACACUCACCCUCUCUCACACCUUUAAUGUGUGUGGAUGGGACUAAGGUUUUCUCAUUUCUUUCAGAUUGUGUGCCUCCGAGGUGAACGUCUGACUGAAGUGAAGGCGUGGCUGACUGUGGACCUACAAGGUGCUUCUUGGAGGUAAUAAAGAUACAUCAGUGAUGGUGGGGCCGUCACAUUAUCAGCUGUUGUGGAUUUCUCAAACAUCUGUAUUGCAGACUCCACAUAAGGUAAAACACUUCCAUUCAGCAAUUGUUGUGCAGUGUCCAGAUUGUCAACAUUUAGUAAGUAAAAUUCUUACUGUACUUUACUUUCAUUUACUGUAUAUGGACAAUACCUGUACUUUCAAAUUAAUAAUAUGUAUGCAAUCAAAAAUGUUCUUUAUGGUCAUGGCCGACGAAUUUCAAAAUGAACACUAGACGCCCGUUCUCUCUGUAAGGUUAUCAAAAUCCUGCGUCCGAGGCAUCUGUAUCUCGGAUGCAUUUUUUGUGCCAUCUGUGGGUAUCUAGUAGUUUUGAUUACAUGUACCCAAUUGGGCAUCACAUGGGCAUUAGUUUGUAACAGUUAUACAAUGAAAGUCACUUUGAUGUCAGUUGGUGAUAAUUAUACAUAGGACAUGAUAUAUACAUUAAGUUACCCAGAAGCCAUCAUGUGGGUGUAUCCAAGUUGAUCACUUUAGUUCAUGUUUCAGGUAUAGUUUACAGUUCUACUGUACUUGUGGUUUAUUUAGAAGAUCAUUAUCAUUCAACUUCGGAAUAUGAAACGUAAAGUUUAUUCAAUAUUUAUUUAUUUUAUUAUACACAGAUAUCGUAGGAGUGCAAACCAUUUAUAAACACCUCCCAGUGCAAGUGCCUCUACCACUACAAAUGCCUCCCCCGGUACAAACGCCUCCCCCGGUACAAACGCCCCCCCCGGUACAAACGCCUCCCCCGGUACAAACGCCUCCCCUGGUACAAACGCCUCCCCCGGUACACUGAACAACAAUUACAUAUUACACUUAAUAUUACAAACCACUAACAAAUGGAUCCAUGGGAGAUAUUCAAACCUCUCGCAAUCCGUUUGACUGAUGUCCGUGUAUCUUGUUGUAUACCUUGCUGAUACUUCACCUGUGGACGAAAAAUAUAUUAUAAAAUGGAAAUUUUUGGCAAUCACAGCAAAACUGUGGCUACCAUGAUAGUUAAUGAUGCUACUGUACAUAAUGUAUCUUGCUAUUUUUAAUACUUUGUGUGGCAUUAAUCGAGGUUCACUCAUACAGUCUUGAAUGCAUUAGUACUUUAAAUAAUUUCUCAAGUUUUGCUAAAUCCUAAAAAUAUUUCGGUAAUACUUAACUUUCACAUUACACUAUUCUUAUAGUGAACAGAACACCAAUUCUGUUCUUAGUAAGGUGGUAGUCAUCAAGGUGUGGGACGCUGGACAGUAGUGGUCACCUUGUCAUGUCUGGUUCAUCUAUCUUCCACACCAACUUCCUGCAACAUGAUUAUAUGUAUUUAGAUACUCUACAUCUGAAUUAAUUAAGCUAUUUUAUAUCACUACCAAUACACCAUAUUGAGGUUAACUUGUACUGUAUAUUCUUAAAUGCACUAUUUUUAGUAAUAUCAAGUUUUGCUAAAUUAUAUAAAAAAAGGUUUCAGUAAUACUUAACUUUUACAUUACACUGUUCUUACAGUAGUGAACAGAACACCAAUUCUGUUCUUAGUAAGGUGGUAGUCCUCAAGGUGUGGGAUGCUGGACAGUAGUGGUCACCUUGCUGUUUUGUCUGGUUCAUCUAUCUUGUACACCAACCACCUGCAACAUGAUUAUUUGUAUUUAGAUAUUCUACAUCUGAAUUAAUUAAGCUAUUUUAUAUCACUACCAAUACACCAUAUUGAGGUUAACUUGUACUGUAUAUUCUUAAA